UGCCAGGAACUAAUAACCGGGACGUGAGUGUCCCGAAGAACCGAUUAAAAAUUCAUGCAACCCAGAAGAGCUGACGAGACCAGCACCGCCAGAGGCGCUAGUGUAUUUUACUCACAUUUCGUGGCGCUGGCGGAAUUAUUCAAACCGGAAUUUCUGGCGCGCGAACAAGACCACUGCUACAUGGCAUGAACCAUCUACUGUACCAGCUACGCCAAGGAUCGUUCCGAUUUGAAUUUCGGAAGUGUGAAGUGCUAGCCACCGAGCUGUCGAUAAUGCGGGAUCAACAUUUAAACCAUGACGAAUACCUAUACGGUGAUGCGAAAUUACUGUAGGCCUCGCUGCAGGCGAGCUACCAGGGACGCUUUACCGUCAACCAGCAAUCCACCCUAGAGGAAUUUAGCUGUAAUCUGAUAAAUCAGUCGUGCAACCAAUCAAUUUGAACGCAACCCGACAUUCUGAAUACAAUCAUCGUUGCAGUGGAUCAACACUUAUCAGA